CUAACAAGUCAGAGGUGAGGGACUGUUUACGCCAAACAAGCACAAAGUACAGAUAUAUAAGCUAAACUAGGUCAGUAUUUUAAAUAAUAUAGUAAAAUAGCAACUUGUUGAAUAAGUGUCAGAAUGUUCCCAAAGAAGACACUUUAAUUACAUGACAUGACGCCAGCACAUCUCAACUGCUGUGCAAUCUAUGGCUGAGCAGUGUGCCGAGGACAUCGAUUAAGUGGUAUCUUGACCAUGACAUCAGCAAAAGUAGUGGUAAGUUUUCGUGAAGUGUGAGCCCUGCUUCCAAGUGAUCCAUGAUCCGGUGGGCAUGUGCUUCUGACAAAGGUCUCAUUUGCAAUGCAGUUCCAAGACAUUCAAUGGCAGUAAUGGAUUGGCUAACUAGCAAGUAGGUUUUACAUGAACCUGGAUGAGUUAUGUUUCGCUCUGCAAAGUGUGUAUACUGUAAGUAUUGCGCUUAUCACACACACCAGCUGUUUGGUUGUAACGUGCAUCUCUCUUCGUUGGAGAUUUCGAUGUCAAAUUUGGAGGUGCCAUGUGAACUCACUAAUGCUAAUAGUAGCCUGUAUGUAGCAAUUCCAGUGUGAAUUAGCAUCAAGCUAACAUUUUGGAACUCUGGAGACUUAUUUUACAUUUGAGUGUUUUCUACCAAGUAUACUUGCUUUGUUGGUGUUGAAAAUUGCAACAUUAUUUUGGAGUUUGGCUGAGUGCUUUGAGUCUGUGUUUAGUGGUCACGUGCAACACCGGUAUUAAAAACUGUUAGAUAUUACAUGAAUCAAUACCCAGUAGAACCAACAUAAUUCAGUUGGUGCCUAUAAAAGUGUCUGCCAGUGUACGACUGGAAAUGCUGCCUGGCUGGUGUUUAGGUGCAUCAAAUUCAAAGCCCCCUGGAUUCAGUCAAAAAUAGGAGAACACAAUACAGAGUUGUUUAAUUUGUUGAAAAUACAAAAAAUACAAUGAAUUUACAAGCCUAGUAGUAGCAGACAUAAAUAACUUAGCAGCACUGUUUUUGUGGCCACAGGUUAAGAGCGAAACAUUUCACAUUGUUAUAGUUAAGACAUUUUCCAAUUCAAUCGAAACUGAAGCCUCUUCUCGCAGCUGUGGGCCCUCUGGAGUCCUCCGUUGGCUGAAGCACUGCCCUCUGGUGGUACCAGUGACACAUCUUAGUCAAACACACGCUAAAGCGGGUAUGCAUUGAUCACAGGGAUGGAACAUGGAACGUAUGAUAGAGCUGUUUUCGCGGGGUUUCAAAGAAAUAAUACAAACGCGUAUGUAUCAUCGGGCAGUGCUUCCAGCCAAAGGAGGACUUCAUUACGCCCACGUUAUGCGAUACGUGGCUUCAACAUUCUACCGUUUUGUUUUUGGUGAUUUUGUCGUUUGCAAAACAGCUCUAUCAUAUUUGGAAGA